CCAAAGAAAAACACAACCUCUCAUGGUUUCUUCUGUUGGUUGUCAUUGGAUGAGUCCAUCUCUAAUGGUUGUCUCCAUGUUGACCAAGGUGCAGCAAGCUUCUCAACCCAACUGUAGGAAGCCACCCUCACUUAUGUGGUAAAGAGGCCUAAUGCAUUGGCUGUCUAGGCUCAUGGCAAGUUUUGGUGGAGCGCCUUCUCAUGAGCAACACACAUAAGUGUGCUGUCUACCAAACUUUUCUAUUAGAACCUAAGCAAGCCACUGAACACAGGAUCAGUAGAUGAAUGUAUGCAAUACUAAUUCCUACGAAGACCUUGGUCAUCUCGUGUGUUUGAUUCAGUGGCCCUGUGGCAUUAAGUGUUAGCACCUGAUCCAGACUGAAUUCCUUUAUAAUACUCUUGUCAUUAGGAUAUACUUUGCAUAACUACUUUCCUGUCCUUUCUGUCUUUUCACUUAUUUUGUGAUCUUGAUCUCCAGAAGAAAGAUAGGAUUCAUAGUUGAACCAGUUAAGAUCAUUGCUUGAGUGGUUUAUUUUAAACCAUAAAGCUACAGUUGAGAAGUAUGUAGCUGUAGCCUUUUGAUAAGAAUGCAUUAAAUAUAGCAUCACACAUGAGUACCACAAAUGAGGUUAGUAGACUAGCUAUGCAGUGGCCCACAUUCAGUGUAAUGUUUUAGUGUCAUUUAGUGCCUCUUAAGUUGCUGUUAUCUGUUGGUCAGUUGCUGUAGUAGGAAAUAAUACUUUUUUAACAAAUGACCCUACCUUUGCUAGUGCUAGGAUAUUUGUAAAAGCCUAAGGGCUUCUUAAAUAUAACAUUUUGGUCUAUUUGGUCUAACCUUAGAAAGAUUAGUAGUUUAUAAUAAAAUAUGUUUGUUCCUAUCAAAACUAGAAUGAACUGGGUUUUCUCCCAAGGACUAAUGAUUCCACUUUGGAUAGAUGAAUUGAUAUUUUCAGUGCAUUCAAAAAUUGUUACUCCCGAGAAAAGCGCCCAUUACCACAGGAAAAUGAACUCUUUGGAACUAGCCCGGUAAAUAUCUCCUUUCGUCAUUGUUUUUGAGGCUAAAAUUGAUGGGUGCAUUGUUUAUGCAUUUUAACUGGCCAUCUUAUUUAUAUUUCAGAUUUGAUAAUCUAGGCUGCUAAGUGAUCUCAUCCAUUUUUUAAAAAAACUAGUAGAGUCCAGUGUUUUCUCAGCUAGUCCCCAAGGAAGUUUCUGCUGCAGCGUGGUCCUUUCUUCAAGGUGUGUGGGAUUCAAGGUGGAAAAGAGUAUAGCUGGUAAUGGUGCCUUGGUCAUUCUGCUCAGGGACCUGCCUGUUCCUGCCUUCCUCUCUUCCCUUCCACAGACUAUCUCAGAGAUUUAACUGUGAACUUAUCCUUGCCUAACUCUUGAGGAUUUCCAAGCUUUGGUUGGGGGAUGGAACAGACAGGAAAACGGUUGUUCCUUGGUUUAAAUUUUGUCAUUGAUUUACUAAUAACUUUUAGCACUUGUUUGGAUCUUCUUAGAUCUGGAUGCUUACUUUCUUUUUUAGUGCCUUACAUACAAUGCUAAAAACUAGGGAUACUGAAAGGGAAAUGGGUUGCAGCAUUCUUGAAUAUAUUCAAAAGGCAUUUUUCACUUACAUUUCUAUCAAAAAGUGAUGUGACUUGUAGCAGUUUUUAUUUUAUUUAUUUAUUUUUUUAAGGAAGGGGGCAAUAAAGAACUGGAGUGCUGAAACAUCUCACACAGCAAACGUUCUGCUAGUGGGUACUAUGAAUCUUUGAUAUCUGAAAGCCCACAUAUAUUUGGUUUGAAGCCAUUCUAGAGGUUUUUAAUUGAUUGACUGCUCUACCACCUAUGGAGUUUGUCUCAUGUACUUAAAGUACACCUCUGUGCACCAUCUUACUUCAGGUUUGUCUUGUGUCACUGACUACAUUCGUAAGCCCCUUGAGGGUAAGGAUUGUCUACUGUAGUAAUCCUUUUCUCCUCAGCGCCUAGCACAGUGCUUUGGCAUCUUUGCUGCUUGGUUAAUUGAUCUAGUCAGGUCCUUCUUUGUUUUGGCUUAAACAACAGAAAAUUAUUUCUCACAGUUCUGGAGGCUAGAAAUCCAAUAUCAAGGUACAGGUUUGGUUUCUUUUGAGGCCCCUCUGCUUGGCUUGUGGAUGGCCGUCCUCCUGUGUUAUCACGUGAUUCGGGUCUUUGUUUUUUUAACCAAGUUUUUCUAGUUAACUGCAUUGAGUGUUUUCAUCAGCUGUUACAGGUGAAAUACAAUUUGGUAUGAAAAAGGAAAGAGUUCCAGGUGUAUGUUUUAGUAUGCAAAUGCUUUUCUAUUUUUAUAUUUACAUGUCAAUGACUUGCUGUCUGAAUUCCUUAUUAUAUUUGAAAUUUAACUGUUGUAUGACCUAAGUAAGACUGUUUAGAGAUUUGAAAACCAAACUACCGGGAAUUGCACUAAUAUUCUGAAACCCAAGGUAAAGAUAUUAGUGAGGUUUUUUACUUUUUAACUGAAACAGAAUGUAUCUUUUUAAUUUAGGAAGCACCUUAUGAAUUGGAAACAACUUUUUUCUAAAAUGAUUAUAAUGGAACAUAAAAAUGUUCUCCCAGUGAUGCAUCCUUUGAUUGAAACCGCCAUGUAACUAACUACCGGGUUCACAUUUGCCAGAGGAAAAUGCUGUGGUUAAAGAUGUAACAACUUUGGGACAAAGAGUUUCAGGGGCUCAUAAUUUUGAGAGAUGGAGGAAGUUGACCGCAUGAGAGUGGUUUGAGGAUCGCUGUGCCUAGACCGUUUUUGACAUUGGCAACUUAACAUAUCAGAGAUGGAAUUAAUGGCACAUAUUGCCACCUUGGUAAAAGUUGAGAAUCUGUAGUACUGAGAAGUUUCUCCACUAUCAGCCGAGAUUAACAGCCACAGCUGGAUUCUUUGGGGGCUCUGCUUUGUGAAAAGAGCUUUGAAGAAGCAGAGCCUGCACCAUAAAAAGGAAACGGUUGCUCUUCUAGACAUAACAAAGCAUCCGUAUGAAACUAGAAAUGUGGAAAUCUGUAUUGUUAAUUUUAACUACAAACGAACUUACUUUUGGAAAUUACAGGUUCAUGAUCAUAAAGUAGAUAAAGAGUAGAGAAUAAAAGUAACAAUCUGAUGAUUCUGCACCCACUUCUUGGUGGUUGAAACUCCAUAGCCUAUAACGUUGCAAGUCAUUUUGUACUUAGACUCCUGAAAAGAUUAUCCAAAUUAUGUUCAAAAAACCACAGCACAAAAAAUAAACUUGUUUUAUUCUUGGGGAGAAAUUUCAUGUUAUACUGUCCAAUAUUAAUUUAGAAAAAAAGACAGUUUUUUUUUUUAAGGCAUUUCAGAAACAUUGCCCUUUCAAGCAAGUUAGAACAAUAUCCCUCAACAUUAAAUACCAUCUUUUUAGCCAUCAGUACCACUGGGCAUGUGUCAUAAAAGAGAAAUGGGGGCAGAUAUAGCUCCCUUUCAUAUGCUAUACCAGAACAAAAAUUUGUAAAAUGCAUAAGUGCAUUAACUGAAUAUGUUUGAAUUUAAAUUCUGGGUUUUUACCUUCAAAGCACAGGCAGCUGUAGAUACAAAAAGUCCUCUAAUGGAGUACUGGAAUGUUUCAUUGUCUUCACAACUUGGAGUGUCAGAGUUUUCUCUGCCUUCUAUAUUGUAAAACUGAGUGACUAUUCUUGGUCGUUUUUAUUAGAUUUAUUGAUGUCCAAGCAAUACAAGAAUUAACUGUUCAUAUACUGUAUGUUUCCUUAACAUGCUUAUUUGGUUUCUUUGAUGGAGAUUGUCAAGGCCAAAGAAACUUUUUCAUUUGUCAUCCAACCAAUAAAUGGACAGAAGCUGUUAGAAGCUCUUUAA
rnacentral:lncRNA from 1 species